rnacentral:rRNA from 1 species
UGACGGGACCGCACAAGCGGUGGAUGAUGUGGUUUAAUUCGAUGCAACGCGAAAACCUUACCCACCUUUGACAUGUACGGAAUCCUUUAGAGAUAGAGGAGUGCUCGAAAGAGAGCCGUAACACAGGUGCUGCAUGGCUGUCGUCAGCUCGUGUCGUGAGAUGUUGGGUUAAGUCCCGCAACGAGCGCAACCCUUGUCAUUAGUUGCUACAUUCAGUUGGGCACUCUAAUGAGACUGCCGGUGACAAACCGGAGGAAGGUGGGGAUGACGUCAAGUCCUCAUGGCCCUUAUAGGUGGGGCUACACACGUCAUACAAUGGAUGGUACAAAGGGUCGCCAACCCGCGAGGGGGAGCCAAUCCCAUAAAGCCAUUCGUAGUCCGGAUCGCAGUCUGCAACUCGACUGCGUGAAGUCGGAAUCGCUAGUAAUCGUGGAUCAGAAUGUCACGGUGAAUACGUUCCCGGGUCUU